AUUGAACGCUGGCGGCAGGCCUAACACAUGCAAGUCGAACGGUAACAGGAAGAAGCUUGCUUCUUUGCUGACGAGUGGCGGACGGGUGAGUAAUGUCUGGGAAACUGCCUGAUGGAGGGGGAUAACUACUGGAAACGGUAGCUAAUACCGCAUAACGUCGCAAGACCAAAGAGGGGGACCUUCGGGCCUCUUGCCAUCGGAUGUGCCCAGAUGGGAAUAGCUAGUAGGUGGGGUAACGGCUCACCUAGGCGACGAUCCCUAGCUGGUCUGAGAGGAUGACCAGCCACACUGGAACUGAGACACGGUCCAGACUCCUACGGGAGGCAGCAGUGGGGAAUAUUGCACAAUGGGCGCAAGCCUGAUGCAGCCAUGCCGCGUGUAUGAAGAAGGCCUUCGGGUUGUAAAGUACUUUCAGCGGGGAGGAAGGGAGUAAAGUUAAUACCUUUACUCAUUGACGUUACCCGCAGAAGAAGCACCGGCUAACUCCGUG
rnacentral:rRNA from 1 species